rnacentral:rRNA from 1 species
AUGGCCGCCACUGACCCUUCCUACUACCAGAGUGGUGUUUGCCAAUCCAUCACACAGAAGCAGCAUCUCUUCCACUUAUACAUGAACCAGAUUGCCGAAGGAACCCCAAAUGCCAACCAAAAAGUCAUUGUGAAUCCAGGUCUUCCUCUGGAUUUUGGUGUAACCGUUGCAAAUGACUGGACCAUAAGCGAUGGUCCAGCCGCCAAUGCAAACCCUAUCGCACGUGCUCGUGGCAUGCACAUGGGUGAUGGUAAAGCCGACGUAAACUGGUUAUUCUGUCACGAUAUAUUGUUUACUGAUACCAGGUUUAAGGGGUCCAGCCUUAAGGUUCUUGGAGACUUUGUAGCCAACAAAGAUAGUGAAUGGGCAAUUGUAGGUGGAACUGGAGAAUUUGCAUAUGCACAAGGUGUUGUCGUCGCCAAAGUAAUCCAAAAUAUACAACCUACUCCCCGGCGUACUUGGGAGCUUCGUAUCAGUGCUUUCUGUCUGUGCAUCCCCAAAGUGAUCAAGCUUGCUCCUUCCGAGUUCAUAAAGCAAGUUCUUGGAACAACUGAUGCAGUUGGAGGAGUGACUGUUGUUACAUCACUUACUUUGGUCAGCAGCGUCACGACAUAUGGGCCUUUUGGAAAAGCAAAUGGCACUCCUUUUAGCAGCCAGGUUACAGAUAGUAACACUAUCGGGGGGUUCUAUGCGCGUGCUGGGGCGUCUGUUAAUUCACUUGGAGUCUAUGCGUGCCCAAUUUAG